CAGGAAGCACAGGUCUACAAGCAGCAGCAUUCUAUAUGGGACUGUCUUGAUUUACACCACAACCUAUGGAUGGAAGUGUUUUAAAGCUUUCUGUAUGUAACAGCUAAACAAAUGGGUAUUUGUGCCGCUGUUCAGCUCUGCAUUUAGCAAGUUUCUAAUGCUAACACUUGCCAUGCAGGAAGUUGUGAAGAGAAGACUUCAAAUUCCAGAAUGUGUGGGAGGGACAAGUCCAACAAAUGUAACGAGCCAUCUGUCUUUCUGUUGCUUGGCAGAGUCUGCUGCUUAACCAUUUCCAGUUAAGAUGGCCCCUGCCAGAUUGUUGGAAAACCAUGUCUGUAACUCUAUCAAAACUGUGCAGCAAAAUAUGCAAACUGGCAAAAAUUAGUGUUGCUGUUCUCUCUGCUUGAAGCCUGAAGAGAAUUGUAAUGUUCAGGCAUUCUGAAGCUGUACUGAAUCCACUAGCAUUGAUCCAAUUAACUUUUUAAAUUUUAACUUUUUUAUGGAUUCUCCGAGUUGUGAGUAAAGUGAAUCAAAGAACAAUGUUAUCCUUGUUUGUGUGGCAGUUGCUUUACUCUGUGGCUUGCAAGACGGAUAACUCUAAGUGCAUGUACAGUUGGAGUGAAAUUUUAAUAGACAGAGCACUAGUAAUUUCCUCCAUUUUGUUGUUUAUGGACUGAUCAUGUUCAGGUAGAAAUGUGGAUCUGCACCACUUUAGUUCACAUUUUGUUUAAAAAUGCUUCACUUUAGGAAGUGGUCCAUAAUGCCUGGCUGCCAUGUAAUUUUUGUACAUUUGUUUCUAGCACACCAUGACUUGUUUUAGUGACUGAAUGCAGGCUGAUUCACAAAACUGCAUGUAUUAGUUGCCAAUUCUGAGUUGCAUGUUGAUGGAGCUGAAGUGCACAGUUGUCAUGCCACUGCUUCUCUCAUCUCAAGUUUUGCCAUUGCCGUUGUGCUCUGUUAAAUGGGUGCAAGAAUGAUCACAGUACAAGAGUCGACAUCCUUCGAGUGAAAAGACUGUUUUUUGAUUUAAUUGCAUCAUUCUUAGAUUCCUUAUUCUGUAGCUAAUACUAGUACAAGAAUGGUGGUACCACAGCUGUGUCCCCUCUUGAGCUGCAAAGGGGCACUGAGCUUAUUGCAUGAUCAGCGAACAGUGGAAGCAGUAUGACUGUCUACAGUUCUUCCUGCAUUGUUUCACUACUUAGCAGUCUACUUUUUGGAAUGCCUGUUUGGACGUGCUGAGACUGAGCUACUGCCAUCUGGCUUGUAUUAAAUUGUUGCUUUAUACAUUUAUCAACCAGACCUUAAUUAGGACAUAAAAAACUGUCCUUUAAUUUAGGAGCAUAACUUGAUUUCUCUCUUACACUUGGGCAUUGUUGGGGUAAAUUAUUGAACAUGCUUUUUUCUUUUUAAAUCUGAUUUAGAGCAUUGGAAAGCUUUGUACCGUGUAUGCACCAGAUGUUUUCUCUGAUGUGAGAAAUGGUAAUGGUGAAGGGGCAGUUUACUUGGUAACCAAGAAAGUGGUAUUGCAGGAGGAGCUACAAUGUUCCUACUCUUCUCAGUCUUGUAGCCAGAGUAUUCUUUCCUUACAGGGCAAGUUAAUGUUCUAGAUUGACCCCAUGGCCGGAAUGAAAGUUUAGUGGGUAGGUCUUUGUUAUGGUUUAUACGAUGGAAUCCUGUUAAGGUGGAGGAAAAUUUAUUGCAUCGAGAAAGCACAUGUGCAACAGGAAUUGUGUAAUCGGUUGAAGCAUCUACAUGUGGAUAAAUUGAUAGUACUCUGUUGAAAAAAAAUUACCUGUUGAAAGUUUGAGAGGUUUAGCAGUCAUUACUACCAAUCCAGAGAAGUUUGUAUAUAAAUAUCUAAUUAUUUAA